CGGUUAGGCGUCCAUUCGAUCCACAAAGCCCUCGUGCUGCGUCCCAGCCGCUCUGCUGCGAUCGACCCGUAGUCGUCACACACGGACUCCCUCACUCCACCACUGUGGUGCCCGGACGCCCCCUGCCUAAGGGAAAGAAAAAGAAAACAUCGACUGCCUGCCUGCCUGCCUGCCUGCCUGCCUGCCUGCCUGCAUUUACUAUUCUGUGUUGCCUCACCUAUUAACACUGGAAACACAACUCGCAUGCCAAAAUUCCCAUCCUUGUAAAAGCGAACAGUUCAGGCCACCUGGGUGCCUCACUCGGUAAGGUGUCCGAGUCUUGCCUCAGGUCAUGAUCUCGGGGUUCUUGAAUUUCAGCCCCCACAUCUGGCUCUGUGCUGACACCUUGGAGCCUGCUUGGUGAUCCAUUCUCUCCCUCCCUACCCCCCUCUCUCCCACUCACUCAACUGGAAUGAAUGCAUACGUAAUAAGUAAAUAAAUGUAUAUGUGUGUGUACACUU